rnacentral:rRNA from 1 species
UACGAAGGGGGCAAGCGUUGUUCGGAAUUACUGGGCGUAAAGGGCGCGUAGGCGGCUUAUCAAGUCAGGCGUGAAAUUCCCGGGCUCAACCUAGGGGCUGCGUUUGAUACUGAUGAGCUUGAAUGCGGGAGAGGAUAGUGGAAUUCCCAGUGUAGAGGUGAAAUUCGUAGAUAUUGGGAAGAACACCAGUGGCGAAGGCGGCUAUCUGGCCCGUAAUUGACGCUGAGGCGCGAAAGCGUGGGGAGCAAACAGG